rnacentral:rRNA from 1 species
UAAUACCGGAUAGAUCAAAGAUACUGGAAUGUUCUCUGGUCCAACACUCCGGUGCCUAAGGAUCGGUCUGCGGCCUAUCUGGUUGUAGUGGGUGUAACAUACCUACUAGCCUGCGACGGGUAAGGGCUGUGAGAUCAAGUUCCCUGAGAUGGAUUCUGAGACAUGAGGCCCGGCCCUACUGGGGUGAGCAGGCUCGAAAACUUUACACUGAGGAAAACCGCGAUAAGGGGACCCCGAGUGCCAGUACCUAGUGCUGGCUGUCCCGCUGUCCAAAAAACAGUGGGUAUCAAGGGGCGGGCAAGACCGGUGCCAGCCGCCGGGGUAACACCGGCGGCCCGAGUGGUAGCCGCCAUUUUUGGGUUUAAAGGGGCCGAAGCCGGCCUAGGAAGUCUCUUGGGAAAUCUGGCGGCUUAAUCGUCAGGCGUUC